rnacentral:rRNA from 1 species
GACAGAGGGUGCAAACGUUGUUCGGAAUUACUGGGCGUAAAGCGUGUGUAGGCGGCUACAUAAGUCGGAUGUGAAAGCCCCGGGCUCAACCCGGGAAGUGCACUCGAUACUGCGUAGCUUGAGUCUCGGAGAGGUUGGUGGAAUUCUCGGUGUAGAGGUGAAAUUUGUAGAUAUCGAGAGGAACACCGGUGGCGAAGGCGGCCAACUGGACGAAGACUGACGCUGAGACACGAAAGCGUGGGGAGCAAACAGG